UGCAAGUCGAGCGAACAGAAGGGAGCUUGCUCCCGGAUGUUAGCGGCGGACGGGUGAGUAACACGUGGGUAACCUGCCUGUAAGACUGGGAUAACUCCGGGAAACCGGAGCUAAUACCGGAUAGUUCCUUGAACCGCAUGGUUCAAGGAUGAAAGACGGUUUCGGCUGUCACUUACAGAUGGACCCGCGGCGCAUUAGCUAGUUGGUGGGGUAAUGGCUCACCAAGGCGACGAUGCGUAGCCGACCUGAGAGGGUGAUCGGCCACACUGGGACUGAGACACGGCCCAGACUCCUACGGGAGGCAGCAGUAGGGAAUCUUCCGCAAUGGACGAAAGUCUGACGGAGCAACGCCGCGUGAGUGAUGAAGGUUUUCGGAUCGUAAAGCUCUGUUGUUAGGGAAGAACAAGUGCGAGAGUAACUGCUCGCACCUUGACGGUACCUAACCAGAAAGCCACGGCUAACUACGUGCCAGCAGCCGCGGUAAUACGUAGGUGGCAAGCGUUGUCCGGAAUUAUUGGGCGUAAAGGGCUCGCAGGCGGUUUCUUAAGUCUGAUGUGAAAGCCCCCGGCUCAACCGGGGAGGGUCAUUGGAAACUGGGAAACUUGAGUGCAGAAGAGGAGAGUGGAAUUCCACGUGUAGCGGUGAAAUGCGUAGAGAUGUGGAGGAACACCAGUGGCGAAGGCGACUCUCUGGUCUGUAACUGACGCUGAGGAGCGAAAGCGUGGGGAGCGAACAGGAUUAGAUACCCUGGUAGUCCACGCCGUAAACGAUGAGUGCUAAGUGUUAGGGGGUUUCCGCCCCUUAGUGCUGCAGCUAACGCAUUAAGCACUCCGCCUGGGGAGUACGGUCGCAAGACUGAAACUCAAAGGAAUUGACGGGGGCCCGCACAAGCGGUGGAGCAUGUGGUUUAAUUCGAAGCAACGCGAAGAACCUUACCAGGUCUUGACAUCCUCUGACAACCCUAGAGAUAGGGCUUUCCCUUCGGGGACAGAGUGACAGGUGGUGCAUGGUUGUCGUCAGCUCGUGUCGUGAGAUGUUGGGUUAAGUCCCGCAACGAGCGCAACCCUUGAUCUUAGUUGCCAGCAUUUAGUUGGGCACUCUAAGGUGACUGCCGGUGACAAACCGGAAGGAAGGU
rnacentral:rRNA from 1 species